GUACAUUUUGUAUUUUCCUUCCUAAGCUUGCUACAUUUGGUCAAACUGCUCUUCAUUAGAGUAAACCAGAAUACAAAGUCUAUGCUGGGCUUUUUUGAGACACUUUUCUCUCAAAGCAAUUAGUUUAAAUUCCUUCACCUUUGCCUCAGGCAGACUUUUCAUACAAGGGUGAAAAGCAACCCCUCUCUCCACCAAAAUAAUAAGAACAAUCUCUAGGCAGCAUAAUAUUAUUCUCAGAAACCACUUGAGACCCCCAGAGUUCUAAUCACCAUCAGCACCAAUGUAUUCUAUAUUCCUUCUAGGAUAGCCCAUUAAGUCCCAUUUGAAGCAUUCCAUGGCUUUCCAAAUUCAAAGCCCCCAAAUCCACAUUCUUCUAAACACAAUAUAGUCUGGCCUGUCACAGCAAUACCCCUCAGUCUCUGGUAUCAACCCAUGUCUUAGGAUUUCCCUUGCAGUGAAGAGAAACCAUAACCAAAGCAACUCUUACAAAAGACAGCAUUUAAUUGGGGCUGGCUUACAGAAUCAGAGAUUCAGCAUAGCAGUGUCCAUGUAAGCAUGCUGCUAGAGGAGCUGAGAGUUCUGUCUUGUUUGGAAGACAAACAGGAGAAGACUCAGCAUCCUCAGGUAGCCAGAAGGAGGGUCUCAAAACACACCCCCACAGUGACACACAUUCUCCAACAAGGCCACACCUACUUCAACAAAUUCGUACCUCCUAAUAGUUUCAUUUAUUGUGCCAAGCAUAUUCAAACCACCACACCUCCCCCGGGAGCUACAAUACCUCUGGAUGAGCAGACUUCCUCUCAGAGCUGUGUGGUUGCUGGUCUCUAGUGUCUCUGGAUACUCUUCCAUUGGGACACUCUCCUGCUUCAAAGCUGUGUACAUCCUAGGCUUCCAAGUCACAGGACACCUUCCCAUCCCAGCAGAAAGGUCAAGGUUUUGGUGUAGUGCUUCGUGUAGACUUUCUCUGUGGCUUGUGCUUCCCCAACUCUGGAGAGAUCGAACUGCUCUAGGACUCUUCCAUCUCCGGCUGGCCUGCAGCAGACUCAUCUUCCAGCUCACCUAUAGCUCAUCAUCCUAUCCACUAGCAACAAUUAGGAUUGCUAGCUCUUAGCUCUGUAGCCAGAGCCUGCAACUACUGGUAUACCCUGAAAGUGAGGACUGAACUUGCUCCAUAGACUUCAAACUCACAGAGCAGUGGGAGAGAUGAACGAGGAUGGGACCUCUACACACACAUUCAACAAGAAAUAGUCUAAUGAUGUCGCUCCUUUCCCCCAACCCUGACUGUACAUCAAUGUAAACAAAAAGGGGGUUUCAUUUGCAGAAUUUGUAUACUUUGUAAACUCUGUAUAUUUGGUAAACUCUCUAAACCUUCAAGGUAGGAAAGUGGUCAGGCUCUUGUCUGAGGUGCUCCAGCAGCCAGGCCCAUCCCCAGACCUCUCUGUCAUGAUUGUCACAAAGGUCAUCUCCAGCCAUUCAGCAGGACCCUCCCCAUAUUACUCUAAUUUUAGGUGAAAAGUCUGAUCAAAAGCCACAAAUCCCUGAAUAGCAAAACCUACCAAUCCCUGAAUUUCCCAUACUAACCCACCAACCCCUGAGCACAAAACAACAACAACAACAACAACAAAAAAACCCCACAAAACUAAAAACAAAAACAAAACAAUCCCUGAAGAGGAAAACCCUAAGCACCAAAUCCUACAAAUUCUUACCCUGAAAACCUCCACCUUAGAAAGUCCCACCCCCCAAGAACCUCUAUAUAAACACUGUGCCUUGUCCAAUCCCACACUGUCUGCUCCCUCCUGGGAACUUAGGCAGCCACCCCUGGACUCACCCAUGCACACCCUGGAACCACCAAUAAAUCUUUUAUGAGGUUUGCUGCCUGGCAUGACUCAACUGAAGAUGAUGAGAAGCAAUUGAAGUGAAGCAGGGAAGAAGCAAAGAAGAGGAGCAGGGCUGAGGCUCCUGAGCUGAUGAGCUCAGCUGGGGAUACACUCCCCUGGGAGCUAUAACCCUUCUACUGAGGAGGCUCCCACUCAGAGUUGUGUGGUUCUUGGGCUCCUAUAUCUCAGGUACCCUUCUUUUGGGAAACUGUCCCACCUAAGAGCUGUGUGCUUCCUGGUCUAUCGAGUUCCAGAACACCUACCUUCCCAUUUGAAAAGAAAGGUCAAAACUGGCUCAUACUGUCCUUAAGAUUCACAAUAAGAUGAAGAAGUGAUGCUGGGGAAUUAAAUCAGGAUGAUGGGGAGGAGAGAUUAUGAUUGCCCUGGACUGAGCAAGCACUUGGAGGAGAUCCAGAAUAUAAGAGGUUUUUUUUUUUUUUGGGGGGGGGGGUCAAGAUCAAAGAGAGAUCACUUAUGCAGUGAUGAAAUAUUCCCUCAGAGCCUUAACAGAGCUCAAUUCAGCCAUGACACUGUUGGUAAUGCAAUCCCCUGUUCACAGGUCUGCCUGCAGACACCUGAGCAGACACAGGUGAGACCUGAGACCUCAAAAGCAAACAUUCACAGAAAGUAUAUGAUGGGCCAAACCUGGAAACUGGAGGAGAGACAGGAGCAUGUUGUUCUCUGAGAGGCUCCACCCAGCAGCUGACUCAAACAGAUACAGAUAC
rnacentral:lncRNA from 1 species